UCGGACCUACGGGGGGCAGCAGUGAGGAAUAUUGGUCAAUGGGCGGGAGCCUGAACCAGCCAAGUCGCGUGAGGGACGACGGUCCUAUGGAUUGUAAACCUCUUUUGUCGGGGAACAAAGGCGCCCACGGGUGGGCGGAUGAGUGUACCCGAAGAAAAAGCAUCGGCUAACUCCGUGCCAGCAGCCGCGGUAAUACGGAGGAUGCGAGCGUUAUCCGGAUUUAUUGGGUUUAAAGGGUGCGCAGGCGGAUUUUUAAGUCAGCGGUCAAAUAGUGGGGCUCAACCCCAUCCAGCCGUUGAAACUGG
rnacentral:rRNA from 1 species